GGCAUACGAUUUUGUGACAUGAGAUUGGAAGCUCAUUACAUAUUGAACAUAAAACUUGGCACAUCAAUUCACAUAAUACCUGAAUUUUUCUUAAUAAAUUUCAUAGAUUAUUAGUACAAAAUUUCAUGGAUUUACUAAGGACUUCUUUUCAAAAUGAAGGGACCAGUUGCAGCAUAUCUCAGUUUUUCACUUGCAGUAUGUCUAAUUGAAGGGAGUUUAUCUUUGACUUGGUGACUCAAACUGGGAAGAACUGUUGAGUUAGCAUCCCAUUUGAAGAGCACACAUUUACCUGCAACAAACAUGCAUAAUCCGUCUUCAUGUACAUUCCAAUAACAAUAUACAUCAGGAGUGUGACAAAUGUGAGUAUUAUUCAAGUUAAACAACUCGAAAAACCCGUGUUUCUCCCCUAAUUUCACGUCACAAGAAAGGGUGUUAUCUUCUCCAGGAAUAAUGCUCAUAUAGAAUUCAACAAUAUGACCUGGAGUCAUUAUGUAUUCGUCGCGAACAUCAAUUCCAUGUAUAUAACAUCUUGCCGAGGCUGUACUUGGAGUUUCAUUUUUCACAAUAACAUUGAUCGGGUAAUGAACGGGGCUCUGUGAAUUAACUGAUGAAACUGCCAAGAAACUAAGCAAGAAGAAGCAAAUUACUAAGUAGUGUGAUGAGGAUGGCAUGUUGGUUAUGUUUCUUGUUAUUGUCGGUCCAAUUUAUAGUGAUUAUUGUAUGUUCAUAUGGUUUUGGAUAAACUUCUUCAUUAGUAUAACAACUUUUUAAUGAAACUGUUUUGCCAGUCUUACCAAGAAGUCUUACCAUCUGCGAGAUUUUAGUGUGAGGUAAGUAACUUUUGCCCCUUAUUUGGAAACUUCUGAAAACUAUGCUUAAAAAAGGGAAAACUGGUAGAACUUUGCAUAUCUUGUUCAGUUUGACAAAGCAUAAAAGGAAGGUAAUUAGUGUUCCUAAUUGAUAUUUUAGUGACAUAAAUAAAUGCAUAUUGUUGGAACACAAGGUCAAUACCUGUAACUUUUCAACAAACAGUCAAACAACAAAGCACUACAUAUGAACACAUAGGCCUAAAAUAACUCAUGUUAAUUGUGAGAAACCUACAUCAGCAUAAUACUAACUCUCCACUUCUGUUGAGUAAAUUAGGACAUAUUAAAUCAAUAUUUGCGACAGAAACCAUUUCCAUAUCUGGAGUGGAUACAGAGUGAUUCUGAGAACUAGGAGCUGGCAUCAGUACUAUUGAAUGUAAACAAUAUCAUAACAUAGAUAAAUCUUACCAAAAUGUCAGAGCAGGGAAGCAGUCAUCUUCUGGAAUAUUUUCAGUUUGAAGUUACUGCACUCAUUUGUUGCAUAAGUAUUUCUUCAACUCUAUCCACGAAGACUGAGAUAGUCUGUCGUGAAUUUGUAUCCAACGAGUUUGCCACUUCCUAGAAACAUAAAAUGAAGCAAAGAUCAGAAGGCCAAAAACCUUGAAUCGUAUCCUAACAUCAGAGAGACAAUAAGCCAGUCUUUCCUUUCUUUAAUUUCCACAAGAAAAACCGCAUUAGCAUGGAAUUUUUCAUUUAAAAUAAAGCCGAUAACUGACCCACCCAAACCUUUUCCCUAUC
rnacentral:lncRNA from 1 species